AUUGAACGCUGGCGGCAGGCCUAACACAUGCAAGUCGAACGAGUGGCGGACGGGUGUGUAAUGUCUGGGAAACUGCCCGAUGGAGGGGGAUAACUACUGGAAACGGUAGCUAAUACCGCAUACCAUCGGAUUGGCCCAGAUGGGAUUAGCUAGUAGGUGGGGUAAAGGCUCACCUAGGCGACGAUCCCUAGCUGGUCUGAGAGGAUGACGAGCCACACUGGAACUGAGAACCGGUCCAGACUCCUCCGGGAGGAAGCAGUGGGGAAUAUUGCACAAUGGGCGAAAGCCUGAUGCAGCCAUGCCGCGUGUAUGAAGAAGGCCUUCGGGUUGUAAAGUACUUUCAGCGGGGAGGCGGUACCCGCAGAAGAAGCACCGGCUAACUCCGUGCCAGCAGCCGCGGUAAUAC
rnacentral:rRNA from 1 species